rnacentral:lncRNA from 1 species
AUGACAAUGACACUGCAAACAAGAACUCAUAGUAGGAAGUUAUCUGAGACUUUGGUUUUAAACAAUAUUCCUGGAAGUCAUCUUUUAGAACUACAAGAUAUUCACCACUUUGUGGGCGAUGAUGGUGAGCAUGAGUUGUUGGCUCUCACACUGCCUCUGGAAAAGCAUCCAAGCAGAAAGAAAGUUGAAGCAACUUGAAGCAUCUGGCCCAGAAAUCCCCAACAUAUUUUACUUCCCUACAAGUGGAGAAGACAUGUGCAAACAUGAAUGAAUACCAUAAAAAACCAGCCUUCUUCCUGAUGCUGUGCAUUGCUGUACAGAGUUGGUCUGCUUUACAUGUAGUUGAACUGAAUAAAUGGCCUGUCUUGAAUUACA